AAAGAGCGAUACGCAAUGCGAAUCGCGAAAUCCGCGAAUCAUCAGAUCCUUGAACGCAACUGGCGCUGGAGGGAUAUCCCUCUAGCAUGCCUGUUUCAGUGUGUGAAAACUUCCCAACAGCAUAAUGUGUCUGACAAGGGCCUGCAUGCAACAUGCACUCUCCAAGUCUUACAUGAAAGAUGUAUGAGUGGGCCUCUGGACCCAUCGAAUAGUCACUGCAUUCAGUGAUUUCGAUAGGAGUACCAUUGACCUCAAGUGCUCAUAGACUCAUUAAUAAAUCAUUCAUCUCUCUCAUCUGAAAUCAGGCAAGGACACCCGCUGAACUUAA
rnacentral:misc_RNA from 1 species